CGCAGAGCGUUUUAGAGAGAGAGAGCCAAAAUAAGGAAAGAUUUCUGGAGAGAGAAAGCGAGUGGGAGUUCGGAUCGAAGAACAGAAAGCACGAGAGAGAGAGAGAGAGAGUUCCCUCCUUCUUCGUCUCUCCCAAACCCUAAUUUCCCUAAUUUAUGUUUUCGCUUGUCUUAUCAAUUUUUCUUUCCACACUCAUUUCUGCUUAAUUUUAUCCGUUUUCGAAUCUUUCUUCAUCCUUUUGGGGUUAUUGUUUAUUGUUCUGAAAUUCGGAUCUGUGUGAAAUAUGGUUUUAAUUUAAUUUUGCAACUGUCUUCAUUUCUGUGCGUUAUUCCUUAUACUUUGGGUCUGGGCGUUUGUUCUGCGACUCUAGGGUUCUUUAAACCCUAGAUCUUUUUUUCGAUUUUGCUUAUUCUAGGGUUCUUGAGUCUCGAUUUGGGAGAAAGGGUUUUUUAUUAAGGAAUUGGGGAUUACAUGUAUGGCUUCAGGGACUUUAGGGGAUUUCAAUGAUGAUUUGAAUUGGAGAGGGAAGUGUCGAUGGACAGAGAACAGUAAAGUUUAUACGCGGAAGAGCCACAAGAAAUCCCUUACCCCCUCAACAAAUCAGGCUUCAACAAGCGCUCAAACCGAUGCUGAGGAGCAGGCCACAGUCCCUUGUUCGACAGCAGAUUGUUGUGCUUCUGAGGUAGUUGUAAGGUCGGAGGAUGUAGAUUCUUGCCAAAAUCAAUCCGAGGACAAAAAGACAGAUUCUUCAGGCCAGGUACUGCUGCUAGAAGAGAAUGAAAGUCAACACGUAGCGGAGAAUGGUUGUCAAACUGGUGAUAGACUUAAAGAAGGCCGACGUACUCAAAGUGCAGAGCUUGAUAAAACGCCUUCAGCUGAUGGUGAGAAGGAGUUAGUGCCAUCACUGUUAAGAGAAAAUGAUCAUCCUAAUUUUCAUGUUCCGCAAGCCAAUGGCCUCACUAAGGUCAAUGGAGCUGUGGAAUCACCUGAAGUGGCCAAAGAGCAGCAACUCGUUGGGAAUGAGGCACGGGAUGAUGAAGAAAUGAGGCCUGCUUCACCUCAAGCUUCUGAAGGUAAUGUUCGGAGUAAUCUCAAUGGAGUUGUGGUGCCACUGGUGGUAUCUAAUGUUGAUGAUAGGAUUAGAUUUAAUUUAUGUAAAGCGACACCAAAGAAUGAGAUAAAGGUUCUUAGGAAGAAUCUAGAGCACGAGCUUGAUCAGGUUAGGAGGCUAGUUAAACAGUUUGAAUCCAAAGAGAACCAGCUUGCUUUACAUAAUAACCAGACCAGCAACAGUAACCUUAGUAAUAAAGGUAAUUAUGUCGAUGCUGAAGGUGCAAAUGCUGGUGAGUAUGUUCAGUCUCAAGCCCUGCAUGCCCGAAGUAAUGUGGUUGACCGAAGGUUGUUGUUGAGGGUGAACACAGAGAUGGGUACAAUGGGGCACAAAGAAACGAGACCUGUCGGAUUAGCAAGGGUCAAUUCAGAUAUGGGUGCUGCACGGAAUCUAGAACCUCGGGUGUAUAGUAGGCAAUUCAGUGUGGCAGUAAUAGAUAAUAGGUCCAAUGAGUUUAUUGAGAAGGAGAAACGUACCCCGAAGGCGAAUCAGUAUUACAGAAAUUCAGAGUUUCUUUUGGGAAAAGAUAGACUGCCUUCUGAAAGUAAUAAGAGAUUGAAAACAAAUAAUGGGAGGAAACACAGUGGAGAACAAGAUCAUGCCAUGGGAUUUGGCUUUGGGUUUGAUAAGAACAGGAAUCAGGUUUUGAAGAACUGUAGCAGCCUACUUCAGCGGUUGAUGAAGCACAAGUUUAGUUGGGUUUUCAAUGAGCCCGUGAAUGCCAAGCAACUUGGAUUGGUUGAUUACCAUGAUGUCAUUAAGCAUCCUAUGGACUUGGGUACCAUUAAGACUAGAUUGUCACAGAAUUUUUACAAGUCUCCAAGGGAGUUUGCUGAGGAUGUACGACUAGUUUUUCGCAAUGCCAUGACUUACAAUCCGAAGGGGCAGGACGUUCACCUUAUGGCAGAACAGUUGUCACAGAUUUUUGAGGAAAGGUGGGCCAUUAUAGAUUCUCAGUUCAAUUCUUAUUGGAAAUAUCCAGAAUAUCACGAGGGGGGAUUACCCACACCCUCUUCUAGAAAGGGUGUGCCAUAUUCUCAUUUUGGCCCUGCUUCAGUUCCAGUCUCUGCGCCUGCUGCUUCAGUUCCGUUGUAUGACUCUGUUGCUCCGGGAAGAACUUCUGAGAGGCCUGAGCCAGUGACAUCAUUCAUGGCUGUUGAUCGAAAAAUUCAUCGACCUCAUGUUGGCAGGACUCCUGCUCCCAAAAAACCUAAAGCAAAAGAUCCUAAUAAAAGGGACAUGACUUAUGAGGAGAAGCAAAGACUCAGCACCAACCUACAGGGCUUGCCUCAUGAGAAGCUUGAUGCUAUUAUUCAGAUCAUUAACAAGAGAAAUACUGCCCUUUCUCAAAAUGAUGAUGAGAUUGAGGUUGAGAUUGAUAGUGUCGAUGCAGAGACUCUCUGGGAGCUGGACAGAUUUGUGACUAAUUACAAAAAGAGUUUGAGCAAAAAUAAAAGGAAAGCAGAACUCGCUCUUCAAGCAAGAACCAUGGGGAAUCAGAAUGCCUCGUUGGUGAACUCAACUCCAGCAUUGGCAAUCCAGAUGGAAAGUAGAACAGCUUUAAAAAACGGUGCCACUCUUGUAGAUGAUGACAAAGAGGGUCAAAACAGGAGUAGGACCAGCAGUUCUAGCAGUUCUAGCAGUGAUUCGGGGUCGAGUUCAAGUGAUUCUGAUAGUGACAGUUCCUCUGUGGAUGGAUCCGAUGCUGAGCAUUUGCCUAAGACAUGAAAGAAUCUUUCUGACUGAGGUGUGAACCUGAUUACCCCCUAAGGAAGUAUACUCGGUCCCGUCAGUAUUUGAUUAUUUUUGUUGAGACAAAUUUGCAGGUGAUGCUUGUUGGAGUAGGGUUAAAAUUCUUGUGAUUGGGUUCUGCUGAUGGCAGUCCGGGAUCUAUGUUGAAAACUCGUAAUGGAAGAAUGUAUUAUUAAAUGAUGAUAUCAACCGAUUUUCGAAGAUAAGGAACUUGUGAUAGGAUUUUAGUUGAUAAUUUGACUAGUGACAAUGGGGCUCAGAGCCAAGAUUGAAUAGGAGAUUUAGUAAAGCUGUAUUAUGGUGUUUUUGCAAAUUGUAUUACAAUAGCUGUAUAUAGCUUUCAGGCUUAGGAGUGCUGUUAAUUUUGUUUUUAGGCCAAUGGUUUGGAUUUCAAGCUGGUUAAUAACAUUCGCUAGUCCAGUUAUCCGUGAA